CUUUCAACAUAAAACCACACUUAAAAGAAAAAAUGACCUUCGUUUGAGAGUCUCAACACCACGCGAAUAGGUUUUACAGUUAAAGCCGAACACAAAUGUUACCCUCCCGUGGAAGUCCUCCGUCUGGCCGUGAGCACACCCCCACCGGGUACCGGAGCCUUUUUAGUCCUUGUGCAGAUAUGGAACCCAUCCUCAAGGAUUUCGACUUGGGAAACAGAAUAGCUCUCCUUCUGAAAACACAUGUUCUGGGUCCCUCACAUAUAAUGUGCAGGUCGUAGGAGCUCUUACAGGAUGUGUUCAGCAUGUCCAUGUCACGCAGGAGUCCAUCAUUCUAGCAAAUAUCCAGAGUCUCCCUCCUCGGUCCUGCAUGUAAUCAGAAGUACCUUCCUACAUUGUAAGUAGAAAUAUGGACAAUCCACCUCCAGGAGAACCAAGAUGGCGGCAUAGGUUAACGC